GUUUUGGUCGGACUUGCGGGUUUCAAACCUGAAGCAGGUAGCA
rnacentral:tRNA from 1 species